rnacentral:rRNA from 1 species
GGCGAACGGGUGAGUAACACGUGAGUAACCUGCCCUUGACUUUGGGAUAACUUCAGGAAACUGGGGCUAAUACCGGAUAGGAGCUCCUGCUGCAUGGUGGGGGUUGGAAAGUUUCGGCGGUUGGGGAUGGACUCGCGGCUUAUCAGCUUGUUGGUGGGGUAGUGGCAUACCAAGGCUUUGACGGGUAGCCGGCCUGAGAGGGUGACCGGCCACAUUGGGACUGAGAUACGGCCCAG